GUCGAACGGUAGCAGGCCUUCGGGCGCUGACGAGUGGCGGACGGGUGAGUAACGCGUAGGAAUCUGCCUCAUAGUGGGGGACAACGUGGGGAAACCCACGCUAAUACCGCAUACGCCCUACGGGGGAAAGCGGGGGAUCGUAAGACCUCGCGCUAUGAGAUGAGCCUGCGUUAGAUUAGCUAGUUGGUAGGGUAAAGGCCUACCAAGGCGACGAUCUAUAGCUGGUCUGAGAGGACGAUCAGCCACACUGGGACUGAGACACGGCCCAGACUCCUACGGGAGGCAGCAGUGGGGAAUAUUGGACAAUGGGCGCAAGCCUGAUCCAGCAAUACCGCGUGUGUGAAGAAGGCCCUAGGGUUGUAAAGCACUUUCAAUGGGGAGGAAAACCUGCCGGUCAAUACCCGGUAGCUUGACAUUACCUAUAGAAGAAGCACCGGCUAACUCCGUGCCAGCAGCCGCGGUAAUACGGAGGGUGCGAGCGUUAAUCGGAAUUACUGGGCGUAAAGCGUGCGUAGGCGGCUCGUUAAGUCAGAUGUGAAAGCCCUGGGCUCAACCUGGGAACUGCGUUUGAAACUGGCGAGCUAGAGUUGAGUAGAGGGGAGUGGAAUUUCAGGUGUGGCGGUGAAAUGCGUAGAUAUCUGAAGGAACACCAGUGGCGAAGGCGACUCCCUGGACUCAAACUGACGCUGAGGUACGAAAGCGUGGGUAGCAAACAGGAUUAGAUACCCUGGUAGUC
rnacentral:rRNA from 1 species